rnacentral:rRNA from 1 species
UACGUAGGGGGCAAGCGUUGUCCGGAUUUAUUGGGCGUAAAGCGCUCGCAGGUGGUUCGUCGCGUCGUGCGUGAAAGACCCCGGCUCAACUGGGGGAGGUCGUGCGAUACGGGCAUCACUGGAGUUCGGCAGGGGAGACUGGAAUUCCUGGUGUAGCGGUGAAAUGCGCAGAUAUCAGGAGGAACACCGGUGGCGAAGGCGGGUCUCUGGGCCGAUACUGACGCUGAGGAGCGAAAGCGUGGGGAGCGAACAGG